rnacentral:tRNA from 1 species
UGGCUCAGUUGGUAGAGCAUGGUGUUUGCAACGCCAGCAUGGUGUGUGUGCCAGGGUUGUGGGUUAGAUUCCCAC